rnacentral:rRNA from 1 species
AUUGAACGCUGGCGGCAGGCCUAACACAUGCAAGUCGAGCGGUAGAGAGGAGCUUGCUUCUCUUGAGAGCGGCGGACGGGUGAGUAAUGCCUAGGAAUCUGCCUGAUAGUGGGGGAUAACGUCCGGAAACGGACGCUAAUACCGCAUACGUCCUACGGGAGAAAGUGGGGGCUCUUCGGACCUCACGCUAUCAGAUGAGCCUAGGUCGGAUUAGCUAGUUGGUGGGGUAAAGGCUCACCAAGGCGACGAUCCGUAACUGGUCUGAGAGGAUGGUCAGUCACACUGUAACUGAGACACGGUACAGACUCCUACGGGAGGCAGCAGUGGGGAAUAUUGGACAAUGGGCGAAAGCCUGAUCCAGCCAUGCCGCGUGUGUGAAGAAGGUCUUCGGAUUGUAAAGCACUUUAAGUUGGGAGGAAGGGUCGUUACCUAAUACGUGACGAUUUUGACGUUACCGACAGAAUAAGCACCGGCUAACUCUGUGCCAGCAGCCGCGGUAA